CGUGGGAAACCUGCCCAGAAGCGGGGGAUAACACCUGGAAACAGAUGCUAAUACCGCAUAACAACUUGGACCGCAUGGUCCGAGUUUGAAAGAUGGCUUCGGCUAUCACUUUUGGAUGGUCCCGCGGCGUAUUAGCUAGAUGGUGGGGUAACGGCUCACCAUGGCAAUGAUACGUAGCCGACCUGAGAGGGUAAUCGGCCACAUUGGGACUGAGACACGGCCCAAACUCCUACGGGAGGCAGCAGUAGGGAAUCUUCCACAAUGGACGAAAGUCUGAUGGAGCAACGCCGCGUGAGUGAAGAAGGGUUUCGGCUCGUAAAACUCUGUUGUUAAAGAAGAACAUAUCUGAGAGUAACUGUUCAGGUAUUGACGGUAUUUAACCAGAAAGCCACGGCUAACUACGUGCCAGCAGCCGCGGUAAUACGUAGGUGGCAAGCGUUGUCCGGAUUUAUUGGGCGUAAAGCGAGCGCAGGCGGUUUUUUAAGUCUGAUGUGAAAGCCUUCGGCUCAACCGAAGAAGUGCAUCGGAAACUGGGAAACUUGAGUGCAGAAGAGGACAGUGGAACUCCAUGUGUAGCGGUGAAAUGCGUAGAUAUAUGGAAGAACACCAGUGGCGAAGGCGGCUGUCUGGUCUGUAACUGACGCUGAGGCUCGAAAGUAUGGGUAGCAAACAGGAUUAGAUACCCUGGUAGUCCAUACCGUAAACGAUGAAUGCUAAGUGUUGGAGGGUUUCCGCCCUUCAGUGCUGCAGCUAACGCAUUAAGCAUUCCGCCUGGGGAGUACGGCCGCAAGGCUGAAACUCAAAGGAAUUGACGGGGGCCCGCACAAGCGGUGGAGCAUGUGGUUUAAUUCGAAGCUACGCGAAGAACCUUACCAGGUCUUGACAUACUAUGCAAAUCUAAGAGAUUAGACGUUCCCUUCGGGGACAUGGAUACAGGUGGUGCAUGGUUGUCGUCAGCUCGUGUCGUGAGAUGUUGGGUUAAGUCCCGCAACGAGCGCAACCCUUAUUAUCAGUUGCCAGCAUUAAGUUGGGCACUCUGGUGAGACUGCCGGUGACAAACCGGAGGAAGGUGGGGAUGACGUCAAAUCAUCAUGCCCCUUAUGAC
rnacentral:rRNA from 2 species